CAGAGUCAGCACAGCUGGGGAAAGAGAGAGCUGGCAGAUGUAUUAUCCCUAGGUGAGAAAGAUGACAAAGCCUGAUUCUUCUAACUCAGCAUGGUUGUGUGGGGAAGGUGGUGCACUAGGAUCAAGAAAUCCGGUUUUGGUUCUUGACAUGUUAAGCCCACUCCAAUCACCAGCGCGUGUCCAGCUCUCCUAGGCUGGGUCUGCAAAAGCCUAUAAUCCAGCUGCCUUCGUCCUUCAUUCUGGUCUCAGCAGAAGAGAGCCCAGAUGCAGGCGGAUGCGGUUGUGGUGAUGGAGCACACACAAUCUGUCAGGAAAAUGAUCUGUGAACUGAGGUGGAUUCACAGGAUCAGUGUCACAUCACACGUGGGCAGGAGGAGCAUUUCCACGCCUAGCUGAGGGGAGGCACAAGCGUGAAGAAUUCAGAGCAAUCAGAAACGGAUUUCACACCCCAGCGAAUGUAUUCACAUGUGACCGGUUCUGACAAGAAAUUGACUUUUGUUCACUCUAAUAACCUUAGGUCUGUGGGUCUGAUUAACACUUAUGUCAAAACCUGGGUGUAUCUGAGUGUGAUCACACCUACGUCAAAGUUGCUGGGCUAUUCCAGAACAAGUUUUCACACCCUAGCCCCCAACUCGCCCACACCCGUGGGUGCUGCUUCGUUGCCAUAGUUACCCAGUCCUCCACUGCUCAGCGUGCGACAUGUCUCAGUUCUCACCAGAAGAUGAACUCCUGACAAGGCGGGAGAAUGUCCAGGAGACAGGGCUAUGGCCAGGCAGUAAGGGGCGGAGUCAGAGGUCGCUAUUGUUUUGUUUUCCUCUGGCCUCCAGCAAGGGGGCAAUGGGGGUGGUUGAAUUGCAGAGCUAAGCUGCCUAGUAAGAAAAGGGAAACCAAGGCAGUGUCUGUGACUUCACACAGGAGAGUUUCUGGUUCACUGUUACAAGAACCAAUUCUCCUGCUGGUUCAGGCUGAUUUAACAGAGCCAGUCUGGGCCAGUCCUUUGUACAAAGAGGCAGCAUUUUGACAAAGGGAAAGGAAAUCCUGGAGACAUACUGAAAUAAAUGGGAACAUGAGAGGAAAUAAACAAGGUUGGGGUGAGGGAAGAUUACCUCUUCCUACCAUUGUUCUUCUCUUCCUGACUUUGGCCCUUGGCACAGUUAUUUGGUGAAGUUGCGGGGUCUCACAAACCUAACUCACGAUAAAGUGCUGCUAUUCCUGGGCACAAAACCAGUUUGAUCCAUGCCCCAGAAAAACUGGAAUCUCAGGCUGUCUGAAUUACGUCCCACCCUGGGCUCAGCACCAACUCAACCCUUUCCUCCAGACUGCUCAUCUCCUGGUUUAUAAACCAAUUGGGUCUGAUUGAUGGCAGCUGCCAGCCUGGGAGUGAAAAAGAGUCAGUGGCCUGGCGGGAGAUCCAGGCUCCAGUCCCUCUGCACUAAUGCAUUAUUCAUACAAAGUGAAACAGCUUCGACAGGCGAGAGUGAGAGAGCCCUGCCCCAGGAUCCCCUCCAGCCCCAUGGCUGGGCACUCAUGUGGGAGGUUCAAGUCCUGUUCCCCCAUCAGGCAGAGAGGGGGCGUGAACCCCCGGGUGCCCCACAUCCUCGGUGAGUGCCCGAGCCACUGGGCUAAAGGUUAUAACCUGAGCCCUGCAGCGCUUACGGACCUUUGUGGUUCUAGCCCUAAGAGCCGGGGGCUGGUGAGGAGGUGAGGGGCUGUUUGGACUCGUAAUCAGGUCAGAUUAAUUAGUACUGUGUACGUAACGGUGUUGGGGACUCAGUACAUUGUGCUGCGGCUGGGGGGGGACACGGACUGGGGGACUCCCUAUGGGGCCCCUGAAUGGCUCCUUGUAUCCAUCAAGGGUUUGUCCUUGCCCGGAUCUAGUCAAUGGCGCUAUGUCUGAGCACAGAGUGUACUUCUGGGGCUAAUCUCUCCCUCCCCAAAAGCUGUGGAGAGGAGCCCAAGGAUUUGGUUUGAGCCGGUGAGAUUCUCCACUCCCAGGGACAUGGUGUGGAAUUCGGGGAGCACACAAAGAACUGGGGUGCCUCUCCCCCACAUGGUUUCUGUGCGGCCUGGCUUUAAAGAACUCUAACUUCACUUUAAAAAAUAAGCUACUCUACUGGCUGCUACCGAGUCUGAUAAUGACUGAUAUUAACGUCUUUCUCUUCCUGGUACUGAUAAAACACAGAGUUGAUCCAUCGAUAAAGGGAACAGGAUGUCCGCACUGGAGAAUCAGUGAGCAUGCUCAUUCGAUAAUACAGUAUCUAAAAUCUCAAAAUCAAGAUUAGAAUGAGUCAAAAAUUUCUCAUCCAAACUGUUAAUUGAUGGAAAAUUGCGUAUUUGAUUAACUGAAAUUUUUCACAGCCAGUGUCUUUUGAGUUUUUGUCAACAGAUGCUGAAAGAUUUUCAGUCUUUUGCUAAAAUGUCAACAUUGUUUCGGGAGAAAAGAAAACAUUUUUCGAACCAGUGAUGGUUAUUCGCGAUAGUGAUGGUUGCCAUGGUGAACACUAAGACACAUAAGUAGAUGGUAGAUCUUUCUAAGAUGUGUUAUCGCUCCAUCUCCUGCAUGUUCAUCUCUUCAAAAACUUGUUUCCUCAUGCUUACUUCUUCCUUUCUCUCAUCUCAUUACUGGUGGGUCUUAAGAGCAGGUUAGACACACACCUGUCAGGGAUGCACUAGAAAACACUUAAUCCCCUGCACUGAGGUGCAAAUUCCCUCCUGACCCCCAAUAGAUAGAGGUUGUCUUCUGCCCUGGACUGAUUGAUGGAUCACUUGAUGAUUCCCUGUUCCAUUCAUCCCCUUUGGGGCACCUGGCAUUGGCCACUGUCAGAAGACAGGAUACUGGGCUAGAUGAACCUUUGGUCUGAGCCGGUAUGGCCAUUAUGUUCAUAUGCCCUGAAAGCAGGAGAGUUUAUAGCUCUUCGAAAACCCUUGGGUGUCUUUCAGAAUUUUUGCUAUUACACUUCUGGAUGCUCCAUUAUCCAUAGAAAUGCCUCCUCCUAUUUUGAAUCCUGCCAUGCUCUUGCCCUCAAUAGUCUCUUGUGGCAGUGAGUUCCGCUGGCUAAUUGUGUGAUUAAAGCAGUGCCUUCUACCGGGUUUAAAUCUGCCACUUUUCCAUGUAAUUGGCAGUUCUGCUGUUCUCAACCCAUCCUCCUGGUAUGUCUUCUGGGUGGCCCUUCGGCCAGAGAACACAGCAUGUCAGGCUUGGCUUCUCCUCUCACUCCCCCACCAGUAUCACUCCAGAGGGAGGGACCUCCCCACACAGUGAAACAGGCCUCAAGAGGGGUUUUAGGGGAUACCCAGAUUUCCCAGCUGACAGCAUGACCAGUUACAGCGUGAGCUAGAGAGCCUGGUUUUAGAAGCAGGAGCGGUGAUGUCUUAUAGUCUCUGUGGAUUGGGCUCAGCGGGGGACACAUAACACACUGACCAAUGGGCCACACAACCAGAACAGCUGUUGAUUGUUGGGCUGUGUUAGAUAUAAGAAGUAUAGACUGUUUAAUAUGUUCAAUUAGUUGUUUAAUAAGGUGUUUAUGAAGUAAUGUUAAGUAAAUCACUGGCUUUAAAAUAAGAUCCACUAUGGAGUAUAUGAGCUAUUGACCCUUGGACUCCAUCUCUGAAAGGAGACUUGUUUACCAUUAAGAGACAGGCUCAAACCAGUCAAAACCGGUUUUUCCCGCCAAAACCAGCCCUCAGCAUUCCAUCUCCUCAGAACUUUUCCCACCACAAAAGUUUUAUAAGGACGUGUUCAGUGUCUGCGCAGGGCAGUCCACCCCAGCGACAGCCCGUACACGGUCGGGUCUUCACAGUGCUCCUGAGCUGGAGAGUGAAGAACUCCAUCGGUCCCGCCGUGAGACUGAGGAAAAGGAGGCCUGUCACCACCAUUCCUGCCAUCCUGCAUUCCUGGUGUCCACCAUCCCAGAGGGCCUCCUUGCCAGCGACGAAAUCCAACCAUCGUCUGGACUCCUCAGUGCUCCCCCUCAAAGGCUCUAAAUCAGCCGGAGAGUGGAAGGUCCUGGGUAUCGCCCCUGUACGUCUUAUCCACUGCACCUGAACAGUGGGAAAAGAUUUCUGUGUUGGGGCAUCAUUUAGUGUUGUUCAGCUUCCAAGGGAGGGUUUAUGGGCCUGAGCUUUAAGCUCCCAAAGCCAGUCACUGUUUCAUUUUAUUAAUUAAGUUUGCAUUUUCCCCUAUUCCUCCCAGUUUUCGGAACCUUUACCCUGGAUACACUUACCUUUGUUUGCACCAGAUCACCUUGUCUCCUCUUUAUUUUAUUUACACCACACAAGGAGGGAGGCUAAAUCCACUGGUGAUAGAUACAGGAGGGAGUCGAGUUUGUAUCUUCUGAGAAAAGGGGCUUUCCUUUCCUAGUUCUCCCCUACCAUUUCUAAAGUUUUCCUUUGAAGCAUUGCCUUAUUCCCCUGGAGGUAAUCGCUGUAUGACAGAGCUGCUGGGGGAAAGUUUGUUCAGGGUCUCCUGGUGCGAAUGGUGUAAUGCUGGAAUAUCUUCCAGCUGGAGACACCCACACAGCUGGCUGCAUCUCCAGGUGGGAUGUGGGAGCAGAACAGAUGUGAUUUAUCUCAACUUGCUUAAGGGAUCUGGAAACCCAAUUCUCAUUUAUAUUUGGGAGGCCAACCCAGAUCACAUGGGCGGGGUUGAAUCUGUCAGCCCAGCACUACAGGAAUUGCCCUGCCUUUCCAGUUCGGAGCAUUGCUUAUCUCUGGCAGAAAUCAGACCCCACCCUGGCCCUAGGCAGGAAGGAGCCAUCCUUGAGGCAUCGCUGUGAGAUCUCAUGGCCCUGCCCUAUUUCAAAGCCUAUUGGCCGGAAACUCCUCCCAGCUGGGACUCCAAAGAGAGGAAGAGCUGGACAAAUGCUACAGCUGGUCCCUGGCUAUUGCAAUGGGUAUGUUGGUACCACCUUCCCCUGUCCCGCCCGGCACAGAAUGAUCUCCACGGUUCUCAGAAACCCUCAGCCUGUCUCACUUAAAUAGACUGAGCCAGAAGUAACUCUGAGACGCUGACACCACAGUUCGGUCUCCUCUGCCCUGUCGACAGUUGGCUCAGGACCAGCAACACCAGGCCCAGGCCAUCCCUGGGCAGUGCCCAGCAGAGGUGGCGGAGCAGAGACAUGGAAGUGUGCGAUACCUUUGAGCCUGCUUCCGCCUGCUCGGCCUCAGAGGUAACCCAGGCUGAGACUAGGGGUUAUCACAGAGAGGUGGGAGGGAGCAGAGACUCCAGCCAUCCCCAGACACAGGAUGGGCCCCUCGGGGGUCCAUUGCAGAGCGGUGCCGUUACAACAGCCCUGAGGCUGCUGGAAUUACGCCGGAGGUCGACACAGCCCCCUGCCCCAGGUCUGGUCCCAAGAGCAAAGCUGCCGUGGCCCCAUUUUCCCUUCUCAGCUGCACGGAGCAGACUCUGGCGCACCAGAGCAGCCAGCCAGAGAGUUUCUCUUGGCACCAUUUGUAUGUCACUGCUCGGCAGCUGUUCACGCCCUGCAGUGCUGAAAGCCACCCAGGCUCCUGUUCACAAACAGCAAACAGGUAAGUGGGCAGAGCCCACGCCCAUCCCACCCACGUGGAAAUCCAGCUGUUCCCUCAAUAGCCUAGGACAGCCACACAGCCCAGCGCGCUGAGCCAGGGACCGCAGCUUGCGGGAGGAUACAGCCGCCAGGGACUUCAGCAGGGGGUCAGAGAAUGACACACACACACACACUCCGCCCACAGGACCUGCACUUUGUUAAGAUCCCGCACUCCAAGAGCUGUGACAAAGGGCAGUGUCAUAAACAGAUAGUUAAGGGUUAAGGUCUCUUUUACCUGUAAGGGGUUAACAUGCAGUACCUGAUGACCACCUGACCAGAGGACCAAUCAGAGACGAGAUAA